rnacentral:rRNA from 1 species
GACGAACGCUGGCGGCGUGCUUAACACAUGCAAGUCGAACGCUGAAGCUCAGCUUUUGUUGGGUGGAUGAGUGGCGAACGGGUGAGUAACACGUGAGUAACCUGCCCCCUUCUUUGGGAUAACGCCCGGAAACGGGUGCUAAUACUGGAUAUUCACUGGUCUUCGCAUGGGGGUUGGUGGAAAGGGUUUUUCUGGUGGGGGAUGGGCUCGCGGCCUAUCAGCUUGUUGGUGGGGUGAUGGCCUACCAAGGCUUUGACGGGUAGCCGGCCUGAGAGGGUGACCGGUCACAUUGGGACUGAGAUACGGCCCAGACUACUACGGGAGGCAGCAGUGGGGUAUAUUGCACAAUGGGCGCAAGCCUGAUGCAGCGACGCCGCGUGAGGGAUGGAGGCCUUCGGGUUGUGAACCUCUUUCGCUCAUGGUCAAGCCGCAACAAUGGUUGUGGUGAGGGUAGUGGGUAAAGAAGCGCCGGCUAACUACGUG